rnacentral:tRNA from 1 species
GCUCACUUAGCUCAAUGGCAGAGCAAUCGGCUGUUAACCGAUCGGUUGUAGGUUCGAGCCCUAUAGUGAGCGCCA